rnacentral:rRNA from 1 species
UACGGAGGGUGCAAGCGUUAUCCGGAUUCACUGGGUUUAAAGGGUGCGUAGGAGGGCAGGUAAGUCAGUGGUGAAAUCUCCAAGCUUAACUUGGAAACUGCCGUUGAUACUAUCUGUCUUGAAUACCGUGGAGGUGAGCGGAAUAUGUCAUGUAGCGGUGAAAUGCUUAGAUAUGAACAUAGAAACACCAAUUGCGAAGGCAGCUCGCUACAUCGAAUAAUUGACUCUGAGGCACGAAAGCGUGGG